CGGGGGGAGCAAGCGUUGUUCGGAUUUACUGGGCGUAAAGGGCGCGUAGGCGGCCACCGCAAGUCGACUGUGAAAUCUCCGGGCUUAACCCGGAAAGGUCAGCCGAUACUGCGGGGCUAGAGUGCAGAAGGGGCAACUGGAAUUCUCGGUGUAGCGGUGAAAUGCGUAGAUAUCGAGAGGAACACCUGCGGCGAAGGCGGGUUGCUGGGCUGACACUGACGCUGAGGCGCGAAAGCUAGGGGAGCGAACGGGAUUAGAUACCCCGGUAGUCCUAGCCUUAAACGAUGAAUGCUUGGUGUCUGGGGUUUAUAGUCCCCGGGUGCCGUCGCUAACGCUUUAAGCAUUCCGCCUGGGGAGUACGGUCGCAAGACUG
rnacentral:rRNA from 1 species